CGCGUAGGUGGUUGCGUCAGUCGGAUGUGAAAUCCCCAGGCUUAACCUGGGAACUGCAUCCGAUACUGCGUGACUCGAGUGCAGCAGAGGGAAACGGAAUUCCUGGUGUAGAGGUGAAAUUCGUAGAUAUCAGGAGGAACACCGGUGGCGAAGGCGGUUUCCUGGGCUGACACUGACACUGAGGCGCGAAAGCGUGGGUAGCAAACAGGAUUAGAUACCCUGGUAGUCCACGCUGUGAACGGUGAGUGCUGGGUGUGGGAGGUGUAAUGCCUUCUGUGCCGAAGCUAACGCGUUAAGCACUCCGCCUGGGGAGUACGGCCGCAAGGUUGAA
rnacentral:rRNA from 1 species